rnacentral:lncRNA from 1 species
CAGCGCAUCCUGUUAAUAACCAUGUCAUCCUAAUUAGUCAAGUCAUUAUUAGGUGCUAAUGAACGUUCAAAGGUAGUAGGAAAUUCAGCACUUUUCCCCCAACGACGUGGAUUUGAGGGAUAUUAUGGAGGGGGGAAAGUGCGGCGCGUGCAGCUGACAGAGUGUAUGCAGGGAGGCUGUGUGUGUGUGUGCACACUCUCCGUAUCAUGUGUGUGAUCGUGGGGAGAGACACUUUUCUCAGAUAGAGAGGUGAAUGCACGCUCGUGCUCCUCAGAUUUCUUUUUUCUUUGCACGCAAAAAUUUUGUUUUUGCACAUCGAUUUUUUUCCUUCUUUCUCCACAUCAGCCUCCGCACUUUUCCGGAAUUUGAGGAUGAAUCAUACAGCGGGGCUAGCCUACUUUUAUUAUUGUUAUUAUUAUUGUGCUAUUUCUUUCUUCUUCCUCCUCAGCAGGUGGAUGAUGACGACGGUCCUUAAGGUGAUUAUUGAUGGAAGAAGCAUGAAGAUAUUCAACCGGAUUUGUAGGUUUGUGCCUAUAGUUCUAUUGUAAUUUCUCAAAGCAACACAACCACUGCAUUCAUUUCGUUUGUUUCAUUCUUUUUGCAUGAAAUGUGCAGACAAUAAAUAAAUUUGAUUUACCAGAGGCAUUUUCGUGCGGAAAGGUUUUUCCCGGAUUUACGCACUAGAAGAAAAAAAAAGUCCAGUUUGUAACUCGUUUUUAAAUUUCUUUACAUUUCUACGAGUUGCAUAAGAAAAAUAAUUCAGUUGGAUGCUCUGGUUUACAUAAAACUGUAUUUUUAGUGGCCUUUAUAUUGUAAGUAUUCUAAUUAUUACAAUUUGACUAUUUUUUUCCUGCAACCUGCUGACUUUUUUUCCAGCAUGCAAAUAAAAAACGUUUCCUUUUUUAAAUUUCUACUUUUAAUAAAAAGAAAUAAUAAUUCAAAGGUUGCUUUUUCCCAGCGGUACUGCACUGUUAAAAUCCCUUCACUGAAUUCAGGAUCACUUUUCUAAUAUCGCAUUUUUGUGUGUCUGUAAAGUGUGGUUUUUUUCGACAAACUGCGUAAAUCAGUGCAGAGGACUUCUCUCUGUUGAUCGGAGUCUCCAGCAUGAGAUGCAGACAGCGUUUGAGCACCAGGCGGCGACAAAGUGAGGCCACAGCCUGCAGAAAGAGCAAACUGAGGCCUCAGCUGCUCUCUAAUGAGCCGAAUGACUCCACAUUGCAAGCUGAUAUGAAAUUAAUAGGGACUUAAGAUAAUUAUCAACCAGCAGCCCCGGUCUAAAACAAAGUGACAGAUCUAGAAACAGAAUAAGAAGAAUACAAAGAGAUAAGACAGGAUAAACCAAUUAGACCCCCCUGUCCUCCUGUAAUCAGGCCUUUUCCAAACCUUUUCGACAAACAAACCGCCUCCAUCAGAUCAAAGCGAUGGUUAAACACGUCACUCAGUGUGCGGGGAUGCACGCGAGCGGCGCAUCCACCGCAAACAGGAACAAUCAAUCGCUUUAUUAGGUUUAAGGGCGCCGCAGGAGCAAAUUGAACGGUACCAGUUAGAGAAUCGUCUUAUUGGCCUCAGCUGAUGGUCGAUGAUGGGCCGCUGGAACUCUGGCUGCCACCAUAUUGAUUCUCUGAAGGCUUUGCGUGUAAGCUGUCACUUCACCGCUGGCGACCUUUAGGUUGCACAGUUGCAGCGUUUAUAACAGAGACACCCCGCGUUUAGACCGUCAGUCACUGCGGGAGGGGUGGUGGGGGUGGGGGGGCAAAAGACCGGCCGGACACGCGCCCACAUCACACGGCGGAGGUUUGCACAAGUUUAGAAAAAGAAUAAUAAUAAUGAAAUUAAUUAUUUGACUCUUCUAUUAUUGGUCUGUUCUGAGAGCGCCACAGUUGUCUCUGGAUGAUUCAACAUUUGAGGAUCAUUUUUUUAUUAUUUAUUUUUUUAAUUACACUGUGCGUCAUAAAGCUAGAUCCAAUCAGGGGCGAUGAGGGAUUAUUAAGGGGUUUGGUGAUUGGUUAAUUAUGCAAAACAAGAAAAAGCACGUUUUUCCUGUUUUUCCUUAUUUAUUUUCAGAUAUAUAAACAUGACUUUAUACAAUUGCCUUUAAAAUUUAACUUAAGGAAUCCCUACUUUUUUAACUCAUAGGGAAAAUGAAGUGAAUGAAAAAUAAACAUAAUUCAUCUUAAAAUGUAUGGACUGUAAAAAUCAGGUCACAUGAUGUAAUAGGCCAUUCAAGGAAAACAGGUUAUUAUUUGAGAUUAAAAAUAAAAAAAUAAGCUUACAAUGUUCACUUUUUUAACCCCUCUUUUAUUUAUGGAUGUUAAAAUCUUUUCACUAGAGAAAAAUGACGAUACUCAAAAUAUUUUUUUUUUACUUCCUUUUUUAAAUUUUUUUUAGGAACAACUGAAUACAGUGGCUCUGUAAAAAUGUCAUACCAACCAACCAUCUCAUCAGAAUCAGAGCCGUCUCUCACAGAUGAUCUGGGACCGAUGUUGAUUAAAAGCUGCAAAAGGACAAACUCUGCCAGUACAGUGUGAGGAGAUCACAGCAGGUGUCUUCUUUGUUAGCUGGAAAAAAAAAAACAUGUAUUUUUUGAUGCAGACUAAAUAAUUAAAAUGACUGUGCACUUGAACAUGUGCAGAGUCUUCAUCCUCUACAGCCUGUUGGGUCAUUCUCAAUCCUAAAAGUCAAAUCCUUCAAAAUCCUACAACCAUGUUGG